AGACCCGAAACCCGGUGAUCUAGCCAUGGGCAGGUUGAAGGUUGGGUAACACUAACUGGAGGACCGAACCGACUAAUGUUGAAAAAUUAGCGGAUGACCUGUGGCUGGGGGUGAAAGGCCAAUCAAACCGGGAGAUAGCUGGUUCUCCCCGAAAGCUAUUUAGGUAGCGCCUCGUGAAUUCAUCUCCGGGGGUAGAGCACUGUUUCGGCUAGGGGGCCAUCCCGGCUUACCAACCCGAUGCAAACUGCGAAUACCGGAGAAUGUUAUCACGGGAGACACACGGCGGGUGCUAACGUCCGUCGUGAAGAGGGAAACAACCCAGACCGCCAGCUAAGGUCCCAAAGUCAUGGUUAAGUGGGAAACGAUGUGGGAAGGCCCAGACAGCCAGGAUGUUGGCUUAGAAGCAGCCAUCAUUUAAAGAAAGCGUAAUAGCUCACUGGUCGAGUCGGCCUGCGCGGAAGAUGUAACGGGGCUAAACCAUGCACCGAAGCUGCGGCAGCGACGCUGAUGCGUUGUUGGGUAGGGGAGCGUUCUGUAAGCCUGUGAAGGUGGCCUGUGAGGGUUGCUGGAGGUAUCAGAAGUGCGAAUGCUGACAUAAGUAACGAUAAAGCGGGUGAAAAGCCCGCUCGCCGGAAGACCAAGGGUUCCUGU
rnacentral:rRNA from 1 species